AGGGAAUCUUCCGCAAUGGACGAAAGUCUGACGGAGCAACGCCGCGUGAGUGACGAAGGUUUUCGGAUCGUAAAGCUCUGUUGCCAGGGAAGAACGUCCGUUAGAGUAACUGCUAACGGAGUGACGGUACCUGAGAAGAAAGCCCCGGCUAACUACGUGCCAGCAGCCGCGGUAAUACGUAGGGGGCGUGCGUUGUCCGGAAUUAUUGGGCGUAAAGCGCGCGCAGGCGGCUGUUUAAGUCUGGUGUUUAAUCCUGGGGCUCAACCCUAGGUCGCACUGGAAACUGGGCAGCUUGAGUGCAGAAGAGGAGAGUGGAAUUCCACGUGUAGCGGCGAAAUGCGUAGAGAUGUGGAGGAACACCAGUGGCGAAGGCGACUCUCUGGGCUGUAACUGACGCUGAGGCGCGAAAGCGUGGGGAGCAAAC
rnacentral:rRNA from 1 species